rnacentral:tRNA from 1 species
GCGGGUUUAGCUCAGUUGGGAGAGCGUCAGACUGAAGUCAACUUCGGGAAGUCAAUCUGAAGGUCGUGUGUUCGAUCCACACAAACCGCA